rnacentral:rRNA from 1 species
UACGUAGGGGGCAAGCGUUGUCCGGAAUCAUUGGGCGUAAAGAGCGUGUAGGCGGUCCGGUAAGUCCGCUGUGAAAGUCGGGGGCUCAACCCUCGGAUGCCGGUGGAUACUGUCGGGCUUGAGUACGGAAGAGGCGAGUGGAAUUCCUGGUGUAGCGGGUGGAAUGCGCAGAUAUCAGGAGGAACACCAACGGCGAAGGCAGCUCGCUGGGACGGUACUGACGCUGAGGCGCGAAAGCGUGGGGAGCGAACAGG